rnacentral:rRNA from 1 species
UUAAGCGACUAAGCGUACACGGUGGAUGCCCUGGCAGUCAGAGGCGAUGAAGGGCGUGCUAAUCUGCGAUAAGCGCCGGUAAGGUGAUAUGAACCGUUAUAACCGGCGAUACCCGAAUGGGGAAACCCAGUGUGACUCGUCACACUAUCAUUAACUGAAUCCAUAGGUUAAUGAGGCGAACCGGGGGAACUGAAACAUCUAAGUACCCCGAGGAAAAGAAAUCAACCGAGAUUCCCCCAGUAGCGGCGAGCGAACGGGGAGGAGCCCAGAGCCUGAAUCAGCAUGUGUGUUAGUGGAAGCGUCUGGAAAGGCGCGCGAUACAGGGUGACAGCCCCGUACACAAAAGCGCAUGUGCUGUGAGCUCGAUGAGUAGGGCGGGACACGUGGUAUCCUGUCUGAAUAUGGGGGGACCAUCCUCCAAGGCUAAAUACUCCUGACUGACCGAUAGUGAACCAGUACCGUGAGGGAAAGGCGAAAAGAACCCCGGCGAGGGGAGUGAAAAAGAACCUGAAACCGUGUACGUACAAGCAGUGGGAGCACAGGUUUACCUGUGUGACUGCGUACCUUUUGUAUAAUGGGUCAGCGACUUAUAUUCUGUAGCAAGGUUAACCGAAUAGGGGAGCCGGAGGGAAACCGAGUCUUAACCGGGCGUUAAGUUGCAGGGUAUAGACCCGAAACCCGGUGAUCUAGCCAUGGGCAGGUUGAAGGUUGGGUAACACUAACUGGAGGACCGAACCGACUAAUGUUGAAAAAUUAGCGGAUGACCUGUGGCUGGGGGUGAAAGGCCAAUCAAACCGGGAGAUAGCUGGUUCUCCCCGAAAGCUAUUUAGGUAGCGCCUCGUGAAUUCAUCUCCGGGGGUAGAGCACUGUUUCGGCUAGGGGGCCAUCCCGGCUUACCAACCCGAUGCAAACUGCGAAUACCGGAGAAUGUUAUCACGGGAGACACACGGCGGGUGCUAACGUCCGUCGUGAAGAGGGAAACAACCCAGACCGCCAGCUAAGGUCCCAAAGUCAUGGUUAAGUGGGAAACGAUGUGGGAAGGCCCAGACAGCCAGGAUGUUGGCUUAGAAGCAGCCAUCAUUUAAAGAAAGCGUAAUAGCUCACUGGUCGAGUCGGCCUGCGCGGAAGAUGUAACGGGGCUAAACCAUGCACCGAAGCUGCGGCAGCGACACUGUGUGUUGUUGGGUAGGGGAGCGUUCUGUAAGCCUGUGAAGGUGUGUCGUGAGGCAUGCUGGAGGUAUCAGAAGUGCGAAUGCUGACAUAAGUAACGAUAAAGCGGGUGAAAAGCCCGCUCGCCGGAAGACCAAGGGUUCCUGUCCAACGUUAAUCGGGGCAGGGUGAGUCGACCCCUAAGGCGAGGCCGAAAGGCGUAGUCGAUGGGAAACGGGUUAAUAUUCCCGUACUUGGUGUUACUGCGAAGGGGGGACGGAGAAGGCUAUGUUGGCCGGGCGACGGUUGUCCCGGUUUAAGCGUGUAGGUGUGUGUUCCAGGUAAAUCCGGUUCACUUUAACACUGAGGCGUGACGACGAGGCACUACGGUGCUGAAGCAACAAAUGCCCUGCUUCCAGGAAAAGCCUCUAAGCAUCAGGUAACAUCAAAUCGUACCCCAAACCGACACAGGUGGUCAGGUAGAGAAUACCAAGGCGCUUGAGAGAACUCGGGUGAAGGAACUAGGCAAAAUGGUGCCGUAACUUCGGGAGAAGGCACGCUGACACGUAGGUGAAGUGAUUUACUCAUGGAGCUGAAGUCAGUCGAAGAUACCAGCUGGCUGCAACUGUUUAUUAAAAACACAGCACUGUGCAAACACGAAAGUGGACGUAUACGGUGUGACGCCUGCCCGGUGCCGGAAGGUUAAUUGAUGGGGUCAGCGCAAGCGAAGCUCCUGAUCGAAGCCCCGGUAAACGGCGGCCGUAACUAUAACGGUCCUAAGGUAGCGAAAUUCCUUGUCGGGUAAGUUCCGACCUGCACGAAUGGCGUAAUGAUGGCCAGGCUGUCUCCACCCGAGACUCAGUGAAAUUGAACUCGCUGUGAAGAUGCAGUGUACCCGCGGCAAGACGGAAAGACCCCGUGAACCUUUACUAUAGCUUGACACUGAACAUUGAGCCUUGAUGUGUAGGAUAGGUGGGAGGCUUUGAAGUGUGGACGCCAGUCUGCAUGGAGCCGACCUUGAAAUACCACCCUUUAAUGUUUGAUGUUCUAACGUGGACCCGUUACCCGGGUUGCGGACAGUGUCUGGUGGGUAGUUUGACUGGGGCGGUCUCCUCCUAAAGAGUAACGGAGGAGCACGAAGGUUGGCUAAUCCUGGUCGGACAUCAGGAGGUUAGUGCAAUGGCAUAAGCCAGCUUGACUGCGAGCGUGACGGCGCGAGCAGGUGCGAAAGCAGGUCAUAGUGAUCCGGUGGUUCUGAAUGGAAGGGCCAUCGCUCAACGGAUAAAAGGUACUCCGGGGAUAACAGGCUGAUACCGCCCAAGAGUUCAUAUCGACGGCGGUGUUUGGCACCUCGAUGUCGGCUCAUCACAUCCUGGGGCUGAAGUAGGUCCCAAGGGUAUGGCUGUUCGCCAUUUAAAGUGGUACGCGAGCUGGGUUUAGAACGUCGUGAGACAGUUCGGUCCCUAUCUGCCGUGGGCGCUGGAGAACUGAGGGGGGCUGCUCCUAGUACGAGAGGACCGGAGUGGACGCAUCACUGGUGUUCGGGUUGUCAUGCCAAUGGCACUGCCCGGUAGCUAAAUGCGGAAGAGAUAAGUGCUGAAAGCAUCUAAGCACGAAACUUGCCCCGAGAUGAGUUCUCCCUGAGACUUAGAGUCUCCUGAAGGAACGUUGAAGACGACGACGUUGAUAGGCCGGGUGUGUAAGCGCAGCGAUGCGUUGAGCUAACCGGUACUAAUGAACCGUGAGGCUUAACCUU